CGGCCGCGCGCACCAGCCCCACGGUGGCCACGCAGACGGGCGCGUCCGCGACGUCCACGCGAGGCACCAGCCCCACGCGCAGCGCCGCGCCUGGAGCUCGCGGGAGCCCCCCACGGCCGCCGCCGCCGCCGCUGCUGGGCACCGUGUCGUCGCCCAGCUCGUCGCCCACCCACCUGUGGACCGGCGAGGUGAGCGCGGCCCCACCCCCAGCCCGCGUCCGGCAUCGGAGGAGGUCUCCGGAGCAGAGCCGAAGCUCGCCGGAGAAGAGGAGCCCCAGCGCCCCGGUUUGCAAAGCAGGUGACAAAACACGACAGCCUUCUUCAAGCCCCUCCAGUAUUAUCCGACGCACUUCCUCCCUGGAUACUCUUGCUGCACCGUAUCUUGCUGGACACUGGCCUCGGGAUAGCCAUGGGCAAGCUGCACCUUGCAUGAGGGACAAAGCUACACAGACAGAGAGUGCAUGGGCUGAAGAAUACUCUGAAAAGAAGAAAGGGUCUCACAAGCGCUCAGCAUCUUGGGGCAGUACAGAUCAACUUAAGGAGGUCAGAAAAAUGGUUCUAAGAUAGUGGGUGUGGAAAUAUCCUUUUGUUGGCUAUUUCCUUGAUAUUACGGGCAGCAAGGAUUUGUCAUUUUCCAUUGAUUUCUUUUUUCUUUUUGGCUUCUUAAAUAACAAAAACAAUUAUUGUAUUGAUUUAAUAAAGAUUUCAAUAGGGAUAUUUAUAUAUCACUUACCUGAUUAUGUAUUUUUGUCUUUUUUUAGGA
rnacentral:sRNA from 1 species